UGGGGAAUUUUGGACAAUGGGCGCAAGCCUGAUCCAGCAAUGCCGCGUGCAGGAUGAAGGCCUUCGGGUUGUAAACUGCUUUUGUACGGAACGAAAAAGCUCUCUCUAAUACAGGGGGUGAAUGACGGUACCGUAAGAAUAAGCACCGGCUAACUACGUGACAGCAGCCGCGGUAAUACGUAGGGUGCAAGCGUUAAUCGGAAUUACUGGGCGUAAAGCGUGCGGAGGUGGUUGUUUAAGUCUGAUGUGAAAGCCCUGGGCUCAACCUGGGAAUGGCAUUGGAAACGGGGCAGCUAGAGGGCGGGAGAGGGUAGUGGAAUUCCCGGUUUAGCAGUGAAAUGCGUAGAGAUCGGGAGGAACAUCUGUGGCGAAGGCGACUGCCUGGACCAGCACUGACACUGAGGCACGAAAGCGUGGGGAGCAAACA
rnacentral:rRNA from 1 species